rnacentral:ribozyme from 1 species
ACUUGUCAACAGUGCCGCGGACGGACUCUGGCCAUGGCAAGGAGAAGAUCUCAGCGCCUGGAGCGGCGAGCCCUUGCAGCUUGGCUGCUGUGCACUGGCCUUCCUGCCUGCGUAAGGGCGGCUCCCCAC